rnacentral:tRNA from 1 species
GCCGGCGUGGCGAAAUUGGUAGACGCAGUAGACUCAAAAUCUACCGCUCGCAAGGGCAUGUCAGUUCGAUUCUGACCGCCGGCACCA